AUGACUAGGAGGUGCACAUCUAAAUCCGAAGUGACAACAAGAAGUAAUCAAGAUAAUCGUCGUUUUGGUGGCUCCAAAACCCAUGAAGUAUCUAUGCUUUGGUUGCAAAAAUUCUCACCUGGUGACCUUAAAGGAUCUGCUACUACUUAAUUGUUUCCUCUACGUGGAUGCACCUCCAUAAAUCCUCCCCUGACACCUCUGUAAGGAAAUUAUCUUAUUAAGUUGAGAUUCUUGACCAAAUCUCUCUUUUUUGUUAUUGGUGUUAUGUUAGUGACCAAAGCAAUGAAUUGAAAUUAGCUGAGUAGCAUUUCUCACUAGAUUUGGUCUUUGGGAAACUGCAUUGAUGAG
rnacentral:lncRNA from 1 species